AGUGAACGCUGGCGGUAGGCCUAACACAUGCAAGUCGAACGGCAGCACAGUAAGAGCUUGCUCUUACGGGUGGCGAGUGGCGGACGGGUGAGGAAUACAUCGGAAUCUACUUUUUCGUGGGGGAUAACGUAGGGAAACUUACGCUAAUACCGCAUACGACCUACGGGUGAAAGCAGGGGCUCUUCGGACCUUGCGCGAUUGAAUGAGCCGAUGUCGGAUUAGCUAGUUGGCGGGGUAAAGGCCCACCAAGGCGACGAUCCGUAGCUGGUCUGAGAGGAUGAUCAGCCACAUUGGAACUGAGACACGUCCCUGACUCCUACGGUAGGCCGCAGUGGGGAAUCUUGGACAAUGGGCGCAAGCCUGAUCCAGCCAUACCGCGUGGGUGAAGAAGGCCUUCGGGUUGUAAAGCCCUUUUGUUGGGAAAGAAAAGCAGCAGGUUAAUACCCCGCUGUUCUGACGGUACCCAAAGAAUAAGCACCGGCUAACUUCGUG
rnacentral:rRNA from 1 species